AUGGAGCAGAGUCCCGAGAACCAGAGUAGCUCUGAUAACCCGUCCCUCGGCGAGGUGGACACUGGAGAAAAUACACGUGAUACAAAACAGAACCAAGGCAAAGAAAUCAUCACUCUGACUGGAAACGUUUUGCCACGUUUGACUGCUGAAGCCAAGCCAGCAUUGGAUAAUUCUGUCAAUGAGCAAUCGACUCAUCCACACACCUCAGAGGCAAUGGAACUAGGCCUUGAGGCAUGGAAGAUUGGUGCUAUUUCUGCUGCAGCCCUCCUAGCUUUGGAGACUGUUUUCAUCAUUAUCUAUAUCCUGAAAUGCCGUAACAAAAGCAGUUCACCAGCCAUACAGCGAACAUGUGAGGACGGGUGUGUUGAACCGGAGGCAGCUACAGGAGGUGACUGCAGUGACGACACACUGCCUGCAGGCAACGGAGACACUCAACAGAUCAUGUUGCUUGACACGUCCAAAGGAGCUUCUAUGCGAGCCAAAACAAAAGAGCAGAAACUGGAACAUGCAAUAGCCAUGCCACACCUCCCACCAAGCACCACUGAGGGUUCGGCCACAACUGGAUCGGAACAAGACUCAUCACAGCAUGAGAACUUAUAAUCUCUAGGACAGAAAUUGGCAACUUUUGUCAGAGUGGGGGCCGCCAAAACCUGACAUUGUCAACAUUCAUGUCAGCAUUUAGAAUAAUGAGUGCUCAAGAAUUUUUUGGGAUCAAUGUGAUAUUUUUUGUCAUCUUGUCAAUUUUUUUUCUCUCAUUUUGUAUGUUUUUGUUGUCAUUUUGUAUAUUGUUGUUGUCCAAGUGUGUAUUUUUUUGUAUUUUUGGGGUGAUUUUUGUGUUUUUGUUGUCUUUUUUUGUCAUUUUAUGGUUUUUUGUGGAGUCAUUGGGUAUUUUUGCUGUCC
rnacentral:lncRNA from 1 species